rnacentral:rRNA from 1 species
UACGGGGGGGGCGAGCGUUGUUCGGAAUUACUGGGCGUAAAGGGCUCGUAGGCGGCCAACUAAGUCAGACGUGAAAUCCCUCGGCUUAACCGGGGAACGGCGUCUGAUACUGGAUGGCUUGAAUCCGGGAGAGGGAUGCGGAAUUCCAGGUGUAGCGGUGAAAUGCGUAGAUAUCGGAAGGAACAUCAGUGGCGAAAGCGACUUCCUGGACCAGUACCGACGUUCAGGCACGAAAGCGUGGGGAGCAAACAGG